rnacentral:lncRNA from 1 species
UUUGGGUUUCUGAAUGAGCAGAGAACUUAGAGAGUGUUCUGCUGCCAUGUUUCCCAGUUACUUCUCUGUUCUUUCAUUUACUUGUUCCCUCCACAACUCACCAUAGACAGUCACGCAGCAAACAUUUAGUAUACCAUGAGUGGAACUGAACCAAAUUACCCCUGACCUAGAAAUCAAGCCCAUUGCUGUUCCUAGAAGGAAGAGACCAUUAGGGAAGCCUGAGCCUGGGUUGAUCUCUACAUGAUACUGAGAAGCUAGGGGCUGGAGAAAUGGCUCAGUGACCAAGUGCUUGCUGUGCAAGAGUGAGGACCUAGGCCGGGAUUCCCAGCAUGCAUGAAAAGGCUGGGUGCAGUGGCACACACCUGUAACCCCAGUGCUAGGACAUGGGGACCAGCAGAUCCCGGGGACUCCUUGACCAGUCAGUCUAGCCAAAAUGACAUUCUUCAGGUUUCGUGAGAGACCCUACCUCCCAACGUGAGACAGAGCUUCGUCUGUUGAAGGUAGUUGAGGUCAACCUCCAGCCCCCAUGUGUGCAUGCAUAGGUGAGCACACUUGCAUCUGCACACAUGCAUGUACACACUACAUGCAUGCACAUACAAAAGAAGUCAUCACUGAAUUGAUAGCAAUUGCCAAGACCUACCAUUGUAGGUAUGUGGGUUUUUCUUUUUUUUAAUCAUCUGUUUGGAGAUAAAGGCAAACAUAGUUGCACAUAAAAUAAUACUGUGUCUGGGGCCGUUUUAAAAUAACAGAACAGUGAAAUGGAAGUGAGCAGGGUGAAGUUCUGAUGAAAUUCUAAGGUGAUUGGUGGGCCCCCAGGGGUCCUGGCACCACCUUCUCCUCUUUGUAUGUUUGACCUUUCACAGUAUCAAGUGCAAGAUAACAUGUAGCCUAAGUUUCCCAAGGACCCAUGUGACUUUCUUCACUCCCUCCUUAGAAGUCCCUUGGUCCGGGGUACCCUGGAUAUGGAGAUGACUGCUUAGGUACAGAGGCCUCAGGCCAAGGCAGCUCACACUGAGCAACAGUGGCACCCCAGCUGGCACAAGCACUGUUGCUCCUCGUGCCUUCUCAUCCCAGUAUCCAUCCAUCUGCUCACUGGUUCCAUUUCUUCCUCCAAAAUCUCUCUCAGAUUCACCGUCCUUAACUUCAUCUUCUCUCCUCAGCAUUUGUCUAAGAUGCCAUCCUUUCCCCCAACCCAGUGGCCAUCCAGGCCACCUCCUCUCCCCCUCAGUUUCUCACACUCCUUUUCUUCUCAAGUCCACACCAGAUCCUCAGAAGUUGAGAGCAUCAGAUGGAUGCUUGGUGCUCAGAACUGGUGAUUUAAACACACCAGGUCCCCGCCCUUGGCCUUCCAAGCAGGGACACCAAAACCAAAUGCAUGGAUAGCCCUGCUAGACAUUGUGAUUAUGGACAAUACUGUGAUGUGCCAUCCAGGUGGUGGUGACAGGCCCUAACCAUCCUGGUGGCUGUAGAUGCCAGCGCCUGUGAAAGCCAUGUCUCUGUCGCCAAACCCAGUCCUUUGUAGAGAUGACAAUUGUGACCUGGGGUGGAGGCAGCUUGGUUCCUCUCAAGUUCCAGAGCUAAGGGCUACAGCUAGGCAGCUAGACUGCAAAAAGAAUGUCAGCCUACUCCUUCCAGAGAAAUCCCUGACUGAUCAGUUCCCCUGGCAGGGGACAGGGCAGAACUAGAAAGGACCCAAGAGGCAAGCCUGCUUCUCCUAGGCCCCUAGUCCCAGCCCAUGCCUAGGUAAGUGGAAAAGCAUUUCUGUUUAAUACUUCAGUCUCCACCCACUGCUUAAUGAAGAAAAGGGCUUUUCUGGGCCCCCUCCCCAGCCCCUUAGCCACCACACACAGCUUGAGCAGGCCCCACAGGGCCUUGAAAACCCAGCAAUUUGAUUUUCCCAGGCCCCUCCUAUCCCAAGUAGGGCCCAGAAGGCAGCUCCUCAGUCACGAAUCAGCCUGUGCGGCCAGCUCCAAACCUGGGCCUCUUGCCAGGGGUGUUAGAAGGGAAAAGCUGGGUUUCUAUGCUGUUCCCUGUGCCUCUGGCUCAGGCCUCACUGCCCUUGCCAAUGAGUCUUCCUCACCUCCAAGUCAACCCUGCAUCUCAUGGUCCAGCUCUGGGCCUGCCUGCCUUCACUGAGCAGCCUCAGAAAGAUGAUUAGAUGAACCCCAAGUUCUGCUGAUAGGGUACAGAAGCUGGCUGAUGAGAGGACAGACUAGCCAGAGUCAGGGUGGAAAGCUGUUGGGGACAUGAGUAGGCAGCAGGGGCCACUUCUGAAAUGCUCCUGACAUCCAGCACCCUGGGAGUCUGCCCCUACAGUCAGUCAACAAUAUGGAUGUGCCUGCUGCAGCUGAGGUUGAGAAUCCCCGCCAAGGAUGGAACCGCCCUGCCUGGUUUCCUCCCAGGCUGUCCUGGAGACCACCCAAGUGGACUCUAUCUGCUUGAGUUAAGCUAAACUCACUGUCUCCAAGCUGUACAGGUCUUCCUCUCUGGACUACUAAGCCCCAACAGCUGACCAUGGCAUGCAUCAGGGCCACAGGGAUUGAGGUGUAAGAAUGGAUUGGGGCAGAAGAUACUGAAGUGGCUCCCACCUGGACUGGUUCCUGAGAACACUGGCUUUGCCUGAACCAAAGGCAAGAGGACUGUUGCCUAGCGCUGCUCUGGCCCACUCUGACCUUGGUGUCUGCUUGGCUCUUCUUUCCAUUGCUCCCGUGUUGCUCCUCUCAUCAGCACUAAGAGUUCCACUCAAGCUGGCCCCGUGCCUUCCCCUCUGCCUGCUUCCCAGUCUGCAUCCUACCUACCAUUCUACCUAGGUCCUAUCCAGAUCCCUAGCUCUCUUGCACUCCAUCCUUUGCACGAGUAUAAAUUUUUCUGGAAUAUGCAUCCUUUUGCCCCAGGUCUGAGUUCCUGAUCUGUUGUGGACAGGGCCCUGGGACCAGAUUCUAGUACCAGUUGGAUGACCUCCAACAACUGAAGCCUUAUUAAAGAGGAAUAUUAAGGCCAAUUAAUGGGCUGUUUGGUAAAGAUUGGAUAAUAUGUGAGUGGCUGUCACAUUGGGAUAUUUGGUAAACAUAGUGAUCAUGCAAUGAUGUGACCAGGGCAGUGUCCACUGUCCCGUCAGUGUCUCUGCAAGGAUGCAGCUCUUUGAGGACUGGAUCAACCUUUCUGUCUUCUAUCCAGUCCUGUACUCUUCUAGUGCCCAGUGUGACCUGCCCAGGAAGAGGCCCAGUGAGAAACUGGUUCACAUGGAAGGAGAAGGGUCCCACUGGGAGGGCCCAAGAGCAAUCUCUUACUCAGCUCUGGACAGAUCAGAUGUGAGGUGAUCAUGAGGUCAACUUCUAGGCAGGGCAGGCUAAUGGCUGACUGCUCACAAAGUCCCAAGUUGACCUGUGUAGAAUUCCAGAUCAUAUUUACCAUGGCAUAGGAAGAGCGGCAAGAAUAAGAAGCUGGGCAACUCAUGCUGCUAAUGUCUCUGUUACCUCCUUUCCAUGACCUCCUGAGAUGGAACCCUGUGAAGAAGGCAUUCACCAUGCACAAAUGAGCAGCAGGAAGCUGGUAACUCCCUGGCCAGGGCUUCCAACUCUACAUACAAAGCUUAUUUGGAAGCAGGCUGGCAAUGUCUGCUUGAGUCCUGUGUGACUGGCCCCCUCUAUGAGCACCAGCUCUCGUCUGCUACCUGUCCCCUAGAGAAGCCUGCUGCCCUUGGCAAGUCUGGGCCUUUUAAUCCUUCACUCUGCCUCAUGGUGUCAGCCGGUCAGACCCUUCAACACGGGUACAGUUCCGUGGAUGCUUCCUUGCUUCCUCGUUUGCGAAUUCAUUGACUCAUUCUCCGAGACUGCCGAUGAGAAGCAGGCUGCCUGGCUCUCUUGCUAGCCAGUUGUGUGACCUUGACUCUCUUCCCAGACCUUGGUCAUGAUGCUUAGAAUGUCUUCCCCAGCAGCCUGGAGCUUUCUGUCAUUAGUCUUCAAGGCCUGCUGUUUCCCACAGAACACAUUGGCAGCUUUCUCCAGACAGAUAAGCAGUGAUGUCUCCCCCUGGUCAGAGUGUCAGUGACUCUCAACAGCCAUGGCAAACAGAAGACGCUUGGGCCUUUCGGGACCCAGGCCCCCACUUCCAGGCCUUGCCCUCCCUCUCCAAUCCUGGAGACACAGCCCAACAUCUUCAGGAGCCCCACUCCUCCACAAGGGCUUGUCUGACUAUGGGAUUGCAGUGGCGGUGUGUUCUCAGAUGCUGUGCGUUCUCGUGCUAGGAAAACAGCCUUGGGAACCAGAUGGGUAGUCACCUGCUCUGGGGACUUGACUGCGCACAUAUCUUGAGGAGGACUUCUAUUUGACCUGGCACAGCACUCACUCAUCAGUCAACCAUGGUUUAGAAGCUCACUCUACUCAACUGCUGAGAGUUCUUGCUUAGGAGGAGCUGAAAUGACUCUAACACAACAGGAACCUCCUGGCCUUUAGAACAUGUGUGUCGUGGUCACCCUCAAGAAUGAGACUCAAGAGUCUAGGGGUAAGAGAUUCCUUAUGAACAAUUUGGGGUGAGCUACAGCCUCCUCUUAUGGCUGAGAUUUCUCCAACCUCUGCCUGCUUCUAAAUUCCUUUGGAGAGAAGAAAGGGGAAGAAGGAACUGUUCCAGUGGUCCUUGUCCCCAGGGAUCCAGACCUCCACCCAAGCCAGCAAUGCUGCCUGCCCGCUCUCCUUCCUCAGACUACAGCCUCUGGGGUCUAAGCUCUCUGGAAGCUUUUAAAAGGCAACACUGAAGGACCUCACCUACAUCCUGC